AUGAAAUAUGAAGUUUUAUUAAAAGAAAAAGGGGUGAAAAGAACAAAGUUUUGUCUAUCUUUGUUCAUCAUAGCUGAAAGUUAGAGGAGAGAAAGGAGAGGAGAAAACUCUUGAGUAUUUGGUCAUUAGAAGGAGGAAAAUUGAAGGCGGUUCGUGUGUGGAUCUCGUCAACAUAUCGUCGCAAACAGGAAAUCCCCAACCAUAGUGGGCUUGGAGCUGUGAGGGAAUUCGGAGUGGCCACCCGUUCUGAAAGUUUGAUUUUCUUCUGGUGAACUGGACAUCCUUUUAAUUACGUUUGAGGUUUUGGGCUUUUAAAUGUAAUAAGGCCGCUUAUUUA